GUUGCUCCUCGUGACGUGAGCGUACGUACUCCCUACCCCUGCGCCUUGACUUUAUCGUGCAAACGUUUUUCUUUCCGCUACCAUUUUACCAGUAAAAACUACGGAAAAGUUGCGUCGUGAACCAUGUCCCGCUUGAUGCCGCAUUACUCCAAGGGCAAGACGGCCUUCCUGUGUGUAGAUCUCCAAGAGGCGUUUAGUAAGCGCAUCGAGAAUUUCGCCAAUUGCGUGUUCGUUGCCAACCGGCUGGCACGCCUGCAUGAGGUGGUGCCCGAGAACACCAAGUACAUUGUCACAGAGCAUUAUCCGAAGGGCCUUGGCCGCAUCGUGCCGGAGAUUACCUUGCCCAAAACCGCCCACCUGAUCGAGAAGACUCGCUUCUCGUGUGUCGUGCCACAGGUGGAGGAGCUGCUGGAGGACGUGGACAAUGCUGUCGUCUUUGGUAUUGAGGGGCAUGCCUGCAUCCUGCAGACAGUGGCUGACCUCCUGGACAUGAACAAGCGUGUGUUCCUUCCAAAGGACGGCCUGGGCAGCCAAAAGAAGACAGACUUUAAGGCCGCGAUAAAGUUGAUGAGUUCGUGGGGCCCCAACUGCGAGAUCACUACCUCUGAGUCGAUUCUGCUUCAGAUGACAAAGGAUGCCAUGGACCCUAACUUCAAGAGGAUUUCGAAGCUGCUGAAGGAGGAACCUCCGAUCCCGCUCUGAGCAAGUGCACAGCAGACAAGGCUGCCGAGCAUGCGAAUGAGACGGAGAGGGUUUUGCGGAAGCAGUCCUGUAGCGGUCUUGUUGACGGCCGACCUUUCCUGCCUUCCAACUCUGUGCAUAGCUCUGUUUCACGCUUGCUUGAUAGUUUAUGAAAAGCGACAUCUGCGUCUUGCUGUCUUCGAACAAAAACUGAAAAAGUGUGUCGGAUGCUCUUGAGGAAGCAGGCGUGUCGGUCACAACUAGUCUGUUUCUAUGCUAGUACCAAUGCAUCUAGUGGCGUGUGCCCAAUGAGCGCUCUCAUCCGUUUUCGCGAGUGCAGAGAGACGCCUUUUCGGUGCUUUAUUGCAUUUCCUCGCGUCUUGUCUCAGGCUCGUCUAUUUUUUUUUUGUUGUUGUUCAGCACAUAUUGCAGUAUAUCGGCGAAUCGCCAGGGGGAGGAGGCUAUCCAG
rnacentral:misc_RNA from 1 species